rnacentral:ncRNA from 1 species
AGCAGGCAAGCGCAAGGGUUGUAGAGGUCGCUGGCGACAGCGGCAGCCCGGAUGGGUGGGAUCCUCGAACUUGGGGCCUGCAUCAUU